rnacentral:rRNA from 1 species
GACGAACGCUGGCGGCGUGCUUAACACAUGCAAGUCGAACGGAAAGGCCCUGCUUUUGUGGGGUGCUCGAGUGGCGAACGGGUGAGUAACACGUGAGUAACCUGCCCUUGACUUUGGGAUAAUUUCAGGAAACUGGGGCUAAUACCGGAUAGGAGCUCCUGCUGCAUGGUGGGGGUUGGAAAGUUUCGGCGGUUGGGGAUGGACUCGCGGCUUAUCAGCUUGUUGGUGGGGUAGUGGCUUACCAAGGCUUUGACGGGUAGCCGACCUGAGAGGGUGACCGGCCACAUUGGGACUGAGAUACGGCCCAGACUCCUACGGGAGGCAGCAGUGGGGAAUAUUGCACAAUGGGCGGAAGCCUGAUGCAGCAACGCCGCGUGCGGGAUGACGGCCUUCGGGUUGUAAACCGCUUUCGCCUGUGACGAAGCGUGAGUGACGGUAAUGGGUAAAGAAGCACCGGCUAACUACGUGCCAGCAGCCGCGGUGAUACGUAGGGUGCGAGCGUUGUCCGGAUUUAUUGGGCGUAAAGGGCUCGUAGGUGGUUGAUCGCGUCGGAAGUGUAAUCUUGGGGCUUAACCCUGAGCGUGCUUUCGAUACGGGUUGACUUGAGGAAGGUAGGGGAGAAUGGAAUUCCUGGUGGAGCGGUGGAAUGCGCAGAUAUCAGGAGGAACACCAGUGGCGAAGGCGGUUCUCUGGGCCUUUCCUGACGCUGAGGAGCGAAAGCGUGGGGAGCGAACAGGCUUAGAUACCCUGGUAGUCCACGCUGUAAACGGUGGGUACUAGGUGUGGGGUCCAUUCCACGGGUUCCGUGCCGUAGCUAACGCUUUAAGUACCCCGCCUGGGGAGUACGGCCGCAAGGCUAAAACUCAAAGGAAUUGACGGGGCCCCGCACAAGCGGCGGAGCAUGCGGAUUAAUUCGAUGCAACGCGUAGAACCUUACCUGGGUUUGACAUGGAUCGGGAGUGCUCAGAGAUGGGUGUGCCUCUUUUGGGGUCGGUUCACAGGUGGUGCAUGGCUGUCGUCAGCUCGUGUCGUGAGAUGUUGGGUUAAGUCCCGCAACGAGCGCAACCCUUGUUCACUGUUGCCAGCACGUUAUGGUGGGGACUCAGUGGAGACCGCCGGGGUCAACUCGGAGGAAGGUAGGGAUGACGUCAAGUCAUCAUGCCCCUUAUGUCCAGGGCUUCACGCAUGCUACAAUGGCUGGUACAGAGAGUGGCGAGCCUGUGAGGGUGAGCGAAUCUCGGAAAGCCGGUCUCAGUUCGGAUUGGGGUCUGCAACUCGACCUCAUGAAGUCGGAGUCGCUAGUAAUCGCAGAUCAGCAACGCUGCGGUGAAUACGUUCCCGGG